rnacentral:misc_RNA from 1 species
UGGCUCUCGCAUCGAUGAAGAACGCAGCGAAAUGCGAUAAGUAAUGUGAAUUGCAGAAUUCAGUGAAUCAUCGAAUCUUUGAACGCACCUUGCGCCCCUUGGCAUUCCGAGGGGCACGCCUGUUCGAGUGUCGUGAACUCCUCCACUCCUUACCUUUUUCGAAGGGUACCGAGCUGGGAUUUGAGAGUUGCGGGUCCCUGGCCGAUCCGCUCUCUUUGAAUGCAUUAGCGAAGCCCUCGCGGCCUUGGUGUGAUAGUAAUCUACGCCUCGGUUCCGUGCUUAGUGUGGCUACGCUUCCAACCGUCUCGCAAGGGACAACGACUACAAACUUGACCUCGAAUCAGGCGGGACUACCCGCUGA